rnacentral:rRNA from 1 species
AAUCAACGCUGGCGGCGUGCCUAACACAUGCAAGUCGAACGAGAAAGUGGAGCAAUCCAUGAGUACAGUGGCGCACGGGUGAGUAACACGUGACUACCUACCCUCGAGUGGGGAAUAACCUCGGGAAACCGGGGCUAACACCGCAUAAUAUCUACGGAUCAAAUGCGAAAGCAGCUUGAGGAGGGGGUCGCGGCCGAUUAGCUAGUUGGUGAGGUAAUGGCUCACCAAGGCAAUGAUCGGUAGCCGGCCUGAGAGGGCGCACGGCCACACUGGAACUGAAACACGGUCCAGACUCCUACGGGAGGCAGCAGUGGGGAAUUUUGCGCAAUGGGGGAAACCCUGACGCAGCAACGCCGCGUGGAGGAUGAAGCCCCUUGGGUGUAAACUCCUUUCGAUCGGGACGAUAAUGACGGUACCGGAAGAAGAAGCACCGGCUAACUCUGUGCCAGCAGCCGC